AGCAGCCGCGGUAAUUCCAGCUCCAAUAGCGUAUAUUAAAGUUGUUGCGGUUAAAAAGCUCGUAGUUGAAUUUCGGGGGUCGGUAGGUUGGUCAUGCCUCUGGUAUGCACUGGUCUCACUGAUUCCUCCUUCCUGAUGAGCCGUAAUGCCAUUAAUUUGGUGUUGCGAGGAAUCUGGACUGUUACUUUGAAAAAAUUAGAGUGUUUAAAGCAAGCUAACGCUUGAAUACAUUAGCAUGGAAUAAUGGAAUAGGACGUUCGAUCCUAUUUUGUUGGUUUCUAGGAUUGACGUAAUGAUUAAUAGGGAUAGUUGGGGGCAUUAGUAUUCAAUUGUUCAGAGGUGAAAUUCUUGGAUUUAUUGAAGACUAACUACUGCGAAAGCAUUUGCCAAGGAUGUUUUCAUUAAUCAAGAACGAAAGUUAGGGGAUCGAAGACGAUCAGAUACCGUCGUAGUCUUAACCAUAAACCUAAUUGCCGACUAGGGAUCGGAUGAUGUUAAUUUUUUAAUGUACUCAUUC
rnacentral:rRNA from 1 species